GGCAGAAAAGAGAAAGGGGCUAACAGCUUUCACAUGUUCUGCUUAUGUACUCCCUCCAACUACUGCAAAACAAAGGAAAUGUGAGCCCUUCCUCUGUGUAUACUUCUAUCUGAUAUUUGCCUUCUUAAUAGAAUAUCAGAGAACUUCUGUAGGUUAUCCCAGGCAACAGCAUCACAAUGGUGGUUCCUUUAUUUUCUCGGGGCAGUGAAGAAGGAAUGAUCUGCACUUGAGGAUCCUGAUAUUUGCCCACAAGAAGUUGGUGUGGCGUGAUACCUGGACUUGGUCUGAACAUUUGGGGUAAAGUGUUUCUGCCUGUCAAGACUUCUUCAUAUCCACAGUAAUCCAUCUUUAACUUCAGGAGUGACGUAAAACCCACAACUUUCACAGCCUUUGUAUGCAGUCCUUUUUGUCGAGCGCAUAGGACAAGAGAUGUGGAAAGCAUUUUCCUGGGCCCUCAUUUUGUGAAUAGAUCUUUAGGGUUAUGAGUCUAUCCAUACAAAUACUGAGCACCAGAUCCAAAGUGGCAGAUAUGUCUGUUUAUU